rnacentral:rRNA from 1 species
GAGGAAUUUUGCGCAAUGGGGGCAACCCUGACGCAGCAACGCCGCGUGAGUGAUGAAGGCUUUCGGGUCGUAAAGCUCUGUCGGGCGGGAAGAAAUGGUGCAGGUUAAUAUCCUGCAUUUUGACGGUACCGCCAAAGGAAGCACCGGCUAACUCCGUGCCAGCAGCCGCGGUAAUACGGGGGGUGCAAGCGUUAUUCGGAAUUAUUGGGCGUAAAGGGUGCGUAGGCGGUUUUGUAAGUCAGAUGUGAAAUACCGGGGCUUAACUUCGGAACUGCAUUUGAUACUGCGAGACUUGAGUAUGGGAGAGGAGAGCGGAAUUCCUGGUGUAGAGGUGAAAUUCGUAGAUAUCAGGAGGAACACCGGUGGCGAAGGCGGCUCUCUGGACCAAUACUGACGCUGAGGCACGAAGGCGUGGGGAGCAAAC